rnacentral:rRNA from 1 species
UACGGAGGGGGCUAGCGUUGUUCGGAAUUACUGGGCGUAAAGCGCACGUAGGCGGCUUUGUAAGUUAGAGGUGAAAGCCCGGGGCUCAACUCCGGAAUUGCCUUUAAGACUGCAUCGCUAGAACGUCGGAGAGGUAAGUGGAAUUCCAAGUGUAGAGGUGAAAUUCGUAGAUAUUCGGAAGAACACCAGUGGCGAAGGCGACUUACUGGACGACUGUUGACGCUGAGGUGCGAAAGCGUGGGGAGCAAACAGG